UUACUGCAAGCAAUUGAUGAAAAUGAAAUAUUUAAUGGGGGUUUGUACCUGUGGACUUGGCAACACUGGUGCAUCUCAAGAGCAAAACUGUGACGACAUCAGGAUGGAUGGUCAUGAGGCCAAUCACCUCCCCAGCUUCGAUGGUGCUUCUCUUUUGGGGUAGGUGUUGGAUCUGGUCUGGGGGGUGUGUGAGUUGGUGGCAGGUGAGCUUUGGGAAGCAGUGGCUGCUCCUGGCACCAGAGUUUCCAGCUCUUCCUCCUGAAGACCCAGUAGUGCUGCCUGGGGCAAAGCUGAUGUUUCUCACUUGUCAGUAGCACGUGACUGCAAUGUUCUCCAGAGAUCCAGCUGUGUCCAUAGGCAACUGUUCAUCUCAUCUAAGGUCUUUCCUCACUUGACUUGGCUACAGCACCCCUACAAGUAGCAGAACCUCCUUGCCUGGUGGAAGUGGGCAGGAGUGUUGUCCCACAGGUGUUGUCACAUCUCAGAGGAAUUUCCCACCGGGAUUUCUGCGGCACUUUCAACGGCAAGGGAAGGAACUGAGUCUGAAUUUUGCAUGACAUUGUUGUUGCAAGGUGUCCAUAGAUGCCCAGAAGCCAACACAGCCUCCAAAGGAAGCUGGGAACAUUCUGCCAUCCCGAAGAAGACAUGUCUGGGGCUGACCCAGGACUGUAAUCCAGCCCUGCAGUUUAUGUGCAGAGGGCCAUCCCUUUCACACACGAAGCACAGUGAGCCCAAACCGGAUCCCCUUUCUCCAUGGAGAUCAGCCUGCUGGGAUGACGAGAGAAGCAGAGUGAGUCCCCAGCCCUCUCUAGAGCUGAACUGCAAAACCACAGGCUUCAGCAAAGCCCUUUGAGCCAGCCCACCUCCCAGCAGAGUGACUGUCCCUUUCUCUAGAAUCAGGGCUGGAAAUAAUGACAGGAUAUUCUCCUCUGCAGACCUGCCUGACAGAGAGUGGGGAGGGAUCCAGGGUGAAGCCACAGAACUGAUCCUGAGGAAGAAACACAGCUUGCCUCCCGUCCUCCACCCCUGCAGACCCAAGGCUGUCCGUGGAUGUCCCUUUGGGUCAGAAUCCUGGGCAAGGCAGCAUCCCUGAGUGCUCAGCAGUCUCUUUGAGGGAGGUUUUGCUUAGGUUGGCUGCUGCUGAUCCCAGCCUGUCUUCAGCACACAGAUGCUUUUAACCUCCUGAGGAGGGGUCUGAGUGGCCAGCAACUGCUGAGGACACUGCCACAAUUCAGCCAUGUCCCUGCUCAGGGCACAGACUGUAAACACAGUAGAGAAUCCAGGCCAUAUCCCAGCCCAGCUUGGCUGCCUGGCUUGAGGUCCCCAUCACCCAGAAUUUGGAGCUUACCUCUUUUUCCAUUACCUCUAAGCAGAAAUGGUGAAUGUUUCGGUAAUGUUUCCUAAAAAUAAAAAUGUCAACAGA